rnacentral:tRNA from 1 species
GGAGAGCACAAUGGUUCAGUGCUAGAGCAUCUGCUUGGCACGCAGAAGGCCCUCGGUUCAAGCCCUGACCUCUCCA